ACGAAGGCUUUCUGAGUUGUAAACCUCUUUCAGCAGGGACGAUGAUGACGGUACCUGCAGAAGAAGCCCCGGCCAACUACGUGCCAGCAGCCGCGGUAAUACGUAGGGGGCGAGCGUUGUCCGGAUUCAUUGGGCGUAAAGAGCUCGUAGGCGGCUUGGCAAGUCGGAUGUGAAACCUCCAGGCUUAACCUGGAGCCGCCAUUCGAUACUGCCAUGGCUAGAGUUUGGUAGGGGACCACGGAAUUCCUGGUGUAGCGGUGAAAUGCGCAGAUAUCAGGAGGAACACCAGCGGCGAAGGCGGUGGUCUGGGCCAAUACUGACGCUGAGGAGCGAAAGCGUGGGGAGCGAACAGGAUUAAAUACCCUGGUAGUCACCGG
rnacentral:rRNA from 1 species